rnacentral:rRNA from 1 species
CUACGGGUCGCAGCAGUGGGGAAUAUUGCACAAUGGGCGCAAGCCUGAUGCAGCCAUGCCGCGUGUAUGAAGAAGGCCUUCGGGUUGUAAAGUACUUUCAGCGGGGAGGAAGGGAGUAAAGUUAAUACCUUUGCUCAUUGACGUUACCCGCAGAAGAAGCACCGGCUAACUCCGUGCCAGCAGCCGCGGUAAUACGGAGGGUGCAAGCGUUAAUCGGAAUUACUGGGCGUAAAGCGCACGCAGGCGGUUUGUUAAGUCAGAUGUGAAAUCCCCGGGCUCAACCUGGAACUGCAUCUGAUACUGGCAAGCUUGAGUCUCGUAGAGGGGGGUAGAAUUCCAGGUGUAGCGGUGAAAUGCGUAGAGAUCUGGAGGAAUACCGGUGGCGAAGGCGGCCCCCUGGACGAAGACUGACGCUCAGGUGCGAAAGCGUGGGGAGUAAACAGGAUUAGAUACCCGUGUAGUC